UACGAAGGGGGCUAGCGUUGCUCGGAAUGACUGGGCGUAAAGGGCGCGUAGGCGGAUGGCACAGUCAGAUGUGAAAUUCCUGGGCUUAACCUGGGGGCUGCAUUUGAGACGUGUGAUCUGGAGUGAGGAAGAGGGUCGUGGAAUUCCCAGUGUAGAGGUGAAAUUCGUAGAUAUUGGGAAGAACACCGGUGGCGAAGGCGGCGACCUGGUCCUUGACUGACGCUGAGGCGCGAAAGCGUGGGGGAGCAAACAGG
rnacentral:rRNA from 1 species